AUGGCUGAUGUCACUCGGCCGGCGCCGGCCGGUCUGGGCCGCGGGGCCGAGCCGCCGGUCGGGGGAGCCCGGGGAAGCGGGGUGUGGUGGUGGAGGAGGGGGGUGGAGAGGUUUGAUGCCGCUCCUCCGCUUCCCGCUCGUUCUCGGGCUCUGCACAACGGGCUUUGCGGGGUUUCAAGCCUCUGCAAGAUCCUGACUGCUAGGGAACAAAGGCUGGUAUGCGGUUCCCUCAAAGCUCUGCACUUUUUAGUUCCUGCACGUAUUUAUUUCUCAUCAGGAAUAAUGGCAAGAUUUGCUCUCCCAGAGCACACCAGGAUGAAACAGGACCCUGGGGAAUGAAAGGAGAGACUACGCACCUCACUAAAACAUUAAACACUACGGACAAUCCUGAUGCUGCCGUGUAAGACUGCUCAGAAGAAAGAAGAUACAGAGGAGUCGGGGAGAGGAAAAAGAAGCUGAGAUGCAAGGUUGUAAAUAAAUUAUGCCCUGUGUUAAGAUUGCA
rnacentral:lncRNA from 1 species